CAGCCGCCGCGGUAAUACGAAGGGGGCUAGCGUUGUUCGGAAUCACUGGGCGUAAAGCGCACGUAGGCGGACUUUUAAGUCAGGGGUGAAAUCCCAAGGCUCAACCUUGGAACUGCCUUUGAUACUGGAAGUCUUGAGUUCGGGAGAGGUGAGUGGAACUGCGAGUGUAGAGGUGAAAUUCGUAGAUAUUCGCAAGAACACCAGUGGCGAAGGCGGCUCACUGGCCCGAUACUGACGCUGAGGUGCGAAAGCGUGGGGAGCAAACAGGAUUAGAUACCCCGGUAGUCCCUGUCUCUUAUAC
rnacentral:rRNA from 1 species